UACGGGGGGGCAAGCGUUGUUCGGAAUUACUGGGCGUAAAGGGCUCGUAGGCGGCCAACUAAGUCCGACGUGAAAUCCCAAGGCUUAACCUUGGAACUGCGUCGGAUACUGGAUGGCUUGAAUUCGGGAGAGGGAUGCAGAAUUCCAGGUGUAGCGGUGAAAUGCGUAGAUAUCUGGAGGAAUACCGGUGGCGAAGGCGGCAUCCUGGACCGGCAUUGACGCUGAGGAGCGAAAGCUAGGGGAGCAAACGGG
rnacentral:rRNA from 1 species